GCCCCCAUCGUCUAGGGGACUAGGACACCGCUCUUUCAAGGCGGCAACACCGGUUCGAAUCCGGUUGGGGGCGCCA
rnacentral:tRNA from 1 species